UACGUAGGUGGCAAGCGUUGUCCGGAUUUAUUGGGUUUAAAGGGUGCGUAGGCGGCCUAUUAAGUCAGUGGUGAAAUAUUUCAGCUUAACUGGAAUUGUGCCAUUGAUACUGAUGGGCUUGAGUACAGAUGAGGUAGGCGGAAUUGACGGUGUAGCGGUGAAAUGCUUAGAUAUCGUCAAGAACACCUAUAGCGAAGGCAGCUUACUAGGCUGUAACUGACGCUGAGGCACGAAAGUGUGGGGAUCAAACAGG
rnacentral:rRNA from 2 species